rnacentral:lncRNA from 1 species
UAUAGUCUAAUUGAAUGGCAGUACACAUGCUGACUAGGAAUAAUAAGUAUGAAGCACAUAGGUCUAGUUAAAGAUAGGAAGGCUGAUAUAGAGAUCCAACUUAUUUAAUAACAUAAAAGUGGACAUGCUAGGAAUAUGAAGUACACAAGUUAAAUCAUACAGAGGUUUGGAUGAUAGCAAAGUUGGGGAAUGCCAGUUAAGAAUUCAAUGUUGAAGAAUGACGUAAAAAAGGUCCAAAG